UUUAUUUAGCUCUUGAGCACAGUAGAUCAGAGCUUAGCUUCAAAAUGCUGUCACUGGGGUCGAAGGGGAGCACUGCCGAUGCUCUGCCGUUCUCAGAAAGGUAGCAAUUGGACUAGAACCUUCAGGUGUGACUCUGUGCUAAUCUCAAGAUGACUUUCUAGAAUGUGACCUGGGAGGGAAACGAAAUGGGUUCUGUGUCAUCUCUUAAGUGAUUUUACUACUCUUUUUGAGCCCUUGGAGACUUUCUAAUGUAAAUCUUAUUUCAUAUGCUAAAUGGCUCUUUUAUGAUUUUUUUUACCAGUUUUGCUGGGGGUGGACUACUUCAGUAAGUAUGUUCAUUUCAAUUGUAGAAUAUUCUUUUUGAUCUUAUUUGAAACAGCCUCUUGUAAUAUAUCUGGCUAGCCUAGAACUUCUCAUAUAUACACCAGUCUAGUUUCAGACUUAGAGUGAUUGUUUUUGUCUUGACCUCCCUACUGCUGGAAUUAUAGCCAUACUUUAUCGAUAAUCUCAUACCCUUACUGUAUUCAACAAAACAGUCUUGUUUUUUUCUCUUUAGUUUAUAGGAGAUAGUCUCAAGUGAGGCUUAGGCCACCUUUUAUUUUAGUAUGCUUACUUUGUGUGUUUCAUGUGGAAAAUGUUUUAGAUCCUGCGGUGGUUUGAAUGAAAGUGGCCCUCAUAGGCUCAUACUCUUAAAUACUUGGUCCUCAGUUCGCAGAGCUGUUUGAGAAGGAUUAGGAGCUGUGGCCUUGUUAGAAGAGGUUUGUCACAUCAUCCAUCAUCAGGCAAAGAGAUUUCAAAAGGCCUGCCAUUACAUAUGUUCUUUGCUUCCUGUUUGCAUUUUGUGGCGUGAACUCACUGCUGUUCCUGCCACUGUGAGCCUUUGCUUUGCUAUCAUGAACUCAAACCCUCUGAAAUCGUAAGCCUGAUUAAAUGCUUUUAAAAGAAUGUAUUGCCGUGAUUAGGGUUUUAUCACAGCAAUAGAAAAGUAACUAAGAAAAAAGAAAAGAAAAGUAACUAAGAUUCCUUUUUUCUUUUUUUUUCUUUUCUUUCUUUUUUUUUUUUCUUUUUGAGGAAGGACCUCUAUAUACCCAUGGCUGUCCUGGAACUCAUAAUAUAGACCAGGCUGGCCUCAAACUCUCAGAGGCCUAUUUCCCUUUGCCUCCCAAGUGCUUCAGUUAAAGGCAUGUGACAUUAUUCCCUACCGUGCUCAUUUGUUGGCCUUGACCCCAUGAGCAGAGGGCUGGCGCUUUGCUUUUAUUUGGCUCUCAGCCUCUCCCUUGUCAUUUUUCCACAUCUCACUGGCUUCCGAUAGUUAAGCACAGUAGAAAGCUUAACAGACUUUGCUUGUGGAUGAAUGUAAGUUUACUGAGGUGGGACUAUAAUAACAACACUGGGCGACAAGCAGUUCCCGUUCUGUUCUCAGAGAUCCCAGUUCACGUUCAGCCUUCAUAACAGAAGGCACAGAUUAGAAACUACAGUGAUUCCUGACAAGAUCCCAAAUGUAAUAGAAGUAAAAACUAAAAUUCAGGGGAAAAAGCAGGUCUUUACAUCUUCCUACAGAAUUUGAAAGGGGCGAUUUCAGUGACAUUUAAAGUACCUGAGAGAUGAUUAUAUAAACAAAAUUAAAAGUGUGUUUUACUACUUCUGUAAUAACUGCACUUACUGGAGACAUAGGCUAUAACAUAGAGACAUGGAAGUAGCUGGAAGAGCGAUUUAAUGUACAUACAGAAAAAGAGUGGCUUAGACUAAUAACCAUUAUCAUUUGGGCUGUAGUAACAAAAGACCAUAAAUUGGGUGGCUUAUGAAUAGUAGGAAUUUAUUUUCCACAGAUCAGGGUACCAGCAGAUGCUGUGUCUGAUCCAAGCCAAUUCUCUGGCUCUUGGUGAUACCUUUUAGCUGUAUAUUCACCUGGUGAAGGGAGCUAGCUGUGUGUAUGGCCUCAUUUAUAAGGGCACAAAUCACAUUCAUGAGGGAUCUGUUCUUAUGCUCUAUUUAUUUCCCAGUGUCCUCAGCCUUUUAAUUAUGUACAAGCAUGUGUGUGUGUGUGCACAUGUGCAUUGUUGUACAAGUUUAUUGGGUUUUGUUCUUUAGGUGCUGUCUUAAUUAGGAUUUCUAUUGCUGUGAAGAGACACCAUGACCAAAACAACUUUUUGUUUUUGUUUUUGUUUUUGUUUUUUUGUUUUUCGAGACAGGGUUUCUCUGUAUAGCCCUGGCUGUCCUGGAACUCACUUCGUAGACCAGGCUGGCCUUGAACUCAGAAAUCUGCCUGCCUCUGCCUCCUGAGUGCUGGGAUUAAAGGUGUGCGCCACCACGCCGGGCACAACAACUUUCAAAAAGGACAACAUUUAAUUGGGGCUGACUUAAUAUGUUCAGAGGUUCAGUCCAUUGUCGUCAUGGCAGGAAGCAUGGUAGUGUGCAGAUAGACAUGGUGCUGGAGAAGGAGCUGAGAGUUCUACAUCUGGAUCUGCAGGCAGCAGGAGGAGGGAGUGACUCUGGGCCUGGGUUGUUCUAUUCAAACAAGUACAUUCCACUCCCUGGACACCAUAAGCUUGUAGCCUUAUCAUAAUGCAAAAAUGCAUUUAGUCCAACUUCAGAAGUUACCAUAGUCUGUAAGAGUCUCAACAUUGUUUAAAAGUCCAAAGUACAAACUCACUUCUGUGACUCAUAUCAAUCUCUUAAUUGUAACCCCCUG
rnacentral:lncRNA from 1 species